rnacentral:rRNA from 1 species
AGAUGAUUUAUUAAUUUUAUUAAAGGGUAUAGCACUGAAUAUCUAAUAAAAUAUUAAAAAGUAGUAUGAGAAUGCUUACUUUAGAUAUUUCAUCUAAUAAUAACUAAUAAAUUAAAUAAGUUAUCAGACUUUUUGCGAUAAGGUGAA